CAGCCGCCGCGGGAAUACGUAGGGUCCGAGCGUUGUCCGGAAUUAUUGGGCGUAAAGAGCUCGUAGGCGGUCUGUCGCGUCUGCCGUGAAAUCCUCAGGCUCAACCUGAGGCGUGCGGUGGGUACGGGCAGGCUAGAGUGCGGUAGGGGAGAAUGGAACUCCUGGUGUAGCGGUGGAAUGCGCAGAUAUCAGGAAGAACACCGAUGGCGAAGGCAGUUCUCUGGGCCGUAACUGACGCUGAGGAGCGAAAGCGUGGGGAGCGAACAGGAUUAGAUACCCGGGUAGUCCCUGUCUCUUAUAC
rnacentral:rRNA from 1 species